GCUCAAAACUCAAAGGACUUGACGGUAUCCCAAACCAACCUAGAGGAGCCUGUCCUAUAAUCGAUACUCCACGCUACACCUUACCCCCCCUUGAAACCAGUCUGUAUACCGCCGUCUACCAGUUCGCCUUAUGACAGACCCACAGCGAACACAAAAGCCAACCACUCAGACGUCAGGUCAAGGUGCAGCCAACGGGGGGGCAACGAUGGGCUACAUUUUCUACCAAUCAGAACAACACCACCCACCAUAUGAAACAUUGGUCAAAAGGCGGAUUUAGCAGUAAGCCAGACA
rnacentral:rRNA from 1 species